rnacentral:lncRNA from 10 species
UUACAUGCUUCAUAUCUAGGUUCUCAAUUAUGCCUGCUUCAAUUUCUGGAUUUUCAUCAUUCAAGAAAUGACUCAAUAAAUCCUUGCUUGGAUUUCAAUAACUACCCCAGAAAUGUUUAUUUAUGUCUUUGAUAUUUUCUUAAAAUACACUUAGAAUAGCCUCCAUGUUCUACUCUGUGUCUCUGAUUGAUAUCAUUAUAGGCCAAGUAACCACAUAAGAUGAUGAUCUUAACAUUUUAACUCCUAUAUACAGACCUGAGCAUAGCACAUUUGAAGAGCUUCCUAGAAACACUGCAAUCUGAUUGUGGGGGAGCUACAGACAAGCUUUCUGGACUUUAAUUUAUUGCAUCCAAAUCCAAUCUAUUGAAGGCAAUAUUCUUGUUUAACUUUCCAAGUUGCUUAUUUAUCUGACCAGACUUGAGUACUAUAAGCUGUGUGUGGUACUGUUAAAGCAGUUAGACAGACCAUCAUUUCAAACUUCUAACCUGGGAAAUCUUAAUAUCAAUCCAUGAACUCAAUGAGCCUCAGUGGACCUCGGGUUCCCUCCUUCCCAUAACUCUCUAAUGGAUGGCAGAAGCUGGAAGGUGAUAAAACGCAGCUGAUCUGGGACUAGCUCCAAAUUCCUGCCACCUCUCUUAGUUGUUUUUUUCUUGGAAUUUGAACUUCUCUCUCAGGAGCUGUUUUCCUUUCAGAGCCAGUUUUCUUUUCUCUUAAUCCAUUAAUUUCUCCCCUCUCAUCAGAGACCUAAGUGUACCAUUCUCUGAUGGGUUUCUAUUUCCAGAUACUAGUCUGUGCUUACCAGGAUUUAUUUACUUACUUCUCAGGCCUUUUCUGCUUCUCUCGACUUCUUCCUAAAUCCCUGCUACAUUUUUUUUUCUCUCUUUCUGCUUUCCUGGAACCUAUGUGGCAAGGCCCACAUCUGAAGUGUCAUGACAAUAAAUCUCUCAGUUAUGCCUCCUAAAGCAUGAGUGAUAUACCCCCUUAUUUCACUGGUCUCACGUCCCAGCUAAUUCAAACUUUAGUUCUCAACUUUAAUGUCACUUAUGAGAAUAGUGUUUCCUGAUCCUCCAGAUUACAGUUGAAAACUGCUGG